UGCCAGCAGCCGCGGUAACACGUAGGCACCAAGCGUUGUCCGGAAUUAUUGGGCGUAAAGAGCAUGUAGGCGGACUGUUAAGUCUGAUGUGAAAGCCCGGGGCUCAACCCCGGAAGUGCAUUGGAUACUGGCAGUCUUGAGUAUGGGAGAGGAAAGUGGAAUUCCGAGUGUAGGAGUGAAAUCCGUAGAUAUUCGGAGGAACACCAGUGGCGAAGGCGGCUUUCUGGACCAAUACUUACGCUGAGAUGCGAAAGCGUGGGGAGCAAACAGGAUUAGAUA
rnacentral:rRNA from 1 species